ensembl:lncRNA
GUCUUGCUGGAAAGAGCUUCCUAAUAGCACGGCUGUGAGUGAAACCAGCACAGUAUGUUCAGUGUGGAGGUCCUCCUGAUUUCACAUGGAUCCAAACUGUCUAAAAAACUCCCUGCUUCAUACAAGAACAGAUAUGAUAGAUACUGAUUAUCUGCAUGAAUCCACAGGGAACAUAUCUGCUCAGAGGACACCGAAUGGUCCUGAAGUAGAACCUGAGAACCAAUUCAACCAGCGCUGAAAGCAGCCAUGGGACCCAAGGAAGGCAAGUGGGCCCUAGUUAUCACCAUGACCUUCAGGGUUUGUCCCCUUUUCAUACUUCAGAAGGGAGCUUUUAUUGGUGUCCACCGGAAAAAAAGGAAUCAAAAUCCAGGAAAGAGGGAACCUACCAGAAAAAAAAAAUUGCAGAAGACCCUACUAAAACUAGAAGUAAUUACAGGUACAAACAGGCAGUGGUAGAGCAGCACAUGAAGGAAACCACAGGUUUCUGUGAACAAAAGCCACAACUCCUCCAUCAUAAAAACCUCACAAGGUGAAGUGUGUAGUAGACUGGCAUGUGCAUCAAAAGAAGCUGCAAAUAUUGUGACAGGAAGCACAUAAAUGUUUGUGCAAUCCUCUGUCUGCUGGGCUCAGCAUGUCUGAACUAAGUGCACUGUCACCCUAAACUACAUGAAUCACAAAAAAAAAAAAAAAAAAAAAAAAAAAAAAAAAACCAACAACACAAAGUGCAUUCUACAAAAUGAAUGACAUGGUUGAAACAGGAGCUAAAGUGCAAUAAAGUACCAAUCACAGAAUAUGUUACCUAGGAUUGGAUUUGGUAACUGAGACAUUUUUGCAUCCAAUGCGUCUAUAUAAGCAAACAUUUUCAAACAGCUUCAGAAUCAGUUCAUUGCUAUCUACAAUCUCUGAGUCUCCUUGGGCACUACUUGCCAGGGGCUAAGUAUUGGCUGACUUGUUUAAAUGGUAAAGCUCCCACAGAAUUCAGCAUUCUUAGGAUUUUAUCUGAAUUGUCAUUUUACACAUACAUUUUAGACCUCAUUGUGGCCUUCCAAUACUUGAAGGGAGAGUACAAACAGGAGGGGGAAAGGCUGUUUACGAGGGUGGAUACUGAUAGGACAAGGGGGAAUGAUAUUAAACUGAGACAGGGGAGGUUUAGGGUAGAUAUUAGGAGGAAGUUUUUCACUCAGAGGGUGGUGACACACUGGAACAGGUUGCCCAAGGAGGUUGUGGAUGCCCCAUCCCUGAAGGCAUUCAAGGCCAGGCUGGAUAUGGCUCUGGGCAGCCUGGUCUGGUGGUUGGCGACCCUGCCUGUGUCAAGGAGUUGAUACUAGGUGAUCAUUGUUGUCCUUUUCAACCCAGGCCAUUCUAUGAUUCUAUAAUUCUAUGAUUCUGUCUUUCAGAUUACCUUUUCCAAUAAUAAUUCCAUUUCAGCUCCUGCGGAUACUUGAAGCACUUUCAAAGGAUUCAAGCAAAACAAAAACAAAAACAAACAAACAAACAAACAAACAAACAGAAACCUACCAUGAGAACAAAAGAAGAGUGAGCAACCUCACCCCCAAGCAGCCAAGCAUCAAAUUAGGAAAACUAUAGUCCAGAUAGAUUUUAGUCUAGCCAGGGAUGUCAAGACAAGAGGAAGGGCUUCUAUAAACACAUCUAUGCUGAAAGGAAAACUUCAGAAAACAUGCAUCCUCUCCAAAAGAAAUUGCAGACCUGGUUACCUGGGAUAUGAAUAUGGAGGAGACAGCUACUCAACAAUUUUUUGCUUCAGUCUUCACCAGAAAUUGUUCUAGCCACACCACUAAAGUCACAGAAUGCAAAAGCAGAGACUGGGAGAAUAAAAUACUGCCUACUCUAGGAGAAGGUCAAGUUCAAAUCAACCUAAGGAGUUGCACAUGUUGAUGGGACCUGACAAGAUGCAUCCAAUGGGAGUGGUGGAUGAAGUUGCUAAGCCACUUCUCAUAUUUCAGAAGCCAGAAGUUCCCACUAACUGGAAAGUGAAAACAUAGCCCCCAUUUUCAAAAAGGGGAAAAAAGAAGACUCAGGGAACUACAAACCAGUCAGCCACACUUCUGUGCCUGGAGUGGAUCCUUCUAAAACUAUGAUAAGGCAUAUGGAUAACAAAGAGUUGAUUGGUGACAGCUAGAAUGGCUUCACUUAGGGCACAUAAUGCCUGACAAAUUCGUGACCUUCUACGGCGGGGUUAUACUGUUGGUGGAUAAGGAAAGAGUAACUGACAUCAUCUGCCUGGAUACAUUAAUUUGAUGAAUGGAUCACUUGGUGAAUAAGGAACUGGCUGGAUGUUUGCACUCAAAGAGUUACGGUUGGCAGCUGAAUGCACAGGUGGAGGCCAGUGACAAGGGAUGCUCCUCAGGGGUUUGUACUAGGAAUAGCAUAAUUUAACAUCUUUGUUGGUGACACAGACAGGGGGAUUGAGUGCACUUUCCACAAGUUUGUAGGUGACACCAGGCCUAGAGGUGCAGUCAACAUGAUGGAGGAAAGGGAUGACAUCCAGAAGGACCUUGACAGGCUCAAGAGAUGGGCCUGUAAGAAAAACGUGUAUUUCAACAAGUCCAAGUGAUAGGUCUUGCACGUGGGUCAGGGCAAUUUGGAGCAUGAAUGCAGGCUAGGAAACACAUGGGUGAAGAGCAGAACUGUGGAGAAUGACUUGGGAGUACACAUGUUUAAAAAGGUCAACAUGAGCUAGCAAAGUGCACUUAUAGACAAGAAAGCCAAGCAUAUCCUGGACUACAUGAAAGGAAAUACAACUGAGAGUGAUUCUUCUCCUUUACUCUGCUUUUGGGAGACCUCAUUUAGAGUUUUGUAUUCAACUCAGGGAUCUCCAGCAUAAGAAAAACAUGGGCCUGUUAGCCUGGGUCCAUAGGAGAGACAUGAAGAAGAUCAGAGGGCUGGGGCACUCUUCCUAUAAAGACAGAGAGAACUGUGGUUAUUCAGCCUAAAGAAGUCUUAAGACUAAAGAAGAGAACUUAAAGAGGCCUUCCAGUAUUUAAGUACUAGAGGUCUAUGGGAAAGAUGGGGAGGCAUUUUUUAUAUGGGAAUAUAAUAGGACAAGGGUUAACAGUUUCUCUAAAAAGAAGAUAGGCUUAGAAUUGAUGUAAGGAAUAAAUUCUUUACUCAGAGGGUGGGGAAGCACUCGCACAGGCUUCCCAGAGAAGCUGUAGGUGAGUGAACACCUGUAGGUGUUCAAGACCAGGUUGGAUACGGCUCUGGGCAGCCUGAUCUAGUGGCUGGCAAACCUGUUCAUGACAGAACGGGUGUGGGGCAGGGGGGAGGUGGAAAUGGAUGAUUUUUAAGAUCCCUUCCAACCUGAACAAUUCUAUGAUUCUAAACUAAAAAUUUCAACUGAGUAUUUUAACAAAGUUUGCAGGUUUUUUCCCCCCUCUCCCUCUUUGGCUACUAUUGAGCUCUUGAUGCUCAGCCAUAAAACUUCAGUAAUAUCAGCAAUAAAGUUUCGUUUUACCUGUCAUCAGAUAAGUAACAGUUUAGUAAUGGCUUGGGGUGAUUGAUGACAAAGUAGCUAAAAAAAUAACUAGUACUAUAAACCCUAUUUACAACAUCUAAGAAGAACCUUGAAAAGAUAAUACUAUGGAUUACCUUUGUGUUAUUUUCUAUACUCGUUAUAAAAUUUGUCACGGGGUCUUUAAUUGUCUCAUUUUCCAUUUUUUAUAGUCUUUGUCAUGACAAUAAGUUUUCACAUAAUUCAGGGUUUGCUAGAUUGAUUCAAACUAUGCAGUAGAAGUCUGAAUGUGUUAGAGAUGUUGCAGCACGAUCGUCUGACUCUUCAACCUUUGUUCACCCAGUGAUAAAAUUUGUGGAGGAAGAGCAAUAGACAAUUUUAUGCCCUCCAAAUGAGCAUCCUUUCCCUACCUGCUAUUUUCACAGCCUUAUUCCUUCCCUUUCCAUGAGCUAUCUGCUUAAGGAUUAACUAAUUCGGAGUCAGGAGUCAGGCCUGCGUGGAUCCCUUCAUGCUGCCUUCAGCUUUCAGUAAUCUGAAGUUUUCUUAGAACUUAGGGGAUCACAAAAUACUCUUCUUUUUAUUUUAAUGAAACCAAGAUCCUUGAAGAAAUCUGAAGGAAAAGGGAUCAUGAAAGUACCUAGAGGCUCAGUAAGAUGUAUAAAACCCUAUUUUUCCAGAUACCAUCAAGUGUGAGUCAGUUCCAAGUUGUCUUGGUGUCUGAAUCAUGAUUUUUUAAUUCCUGUGGUUGGCAGUGUGGAAGAUGAUUGAAAAAGACUGCUGCUAUAUACUCAAAAUCUUGUCUUCCAGCAAAGAUAUUCACAGCUCCUGGUGCGGCUUUAGGGAGGAUUCCUUAGAGCCUAUCUGGCAAAACUCAUGCUUUUUGACUUCUCCAGCUGUCUCACUGACUCCUUUUCAUCCCCUAAAAUUAUGUCUUGGCCUCCAUUAAUCACAUUUGUCAUGUUUUGCCUAUACCAUAGCAAUAUGAUUCUUGUGCACAAAGAUGUUAUAAGUUCAAAGGGUAUGCUACACUACAUAUAGCAUAUUGCUUACAUGAUACUGAUCACUGCAAGCAUGUUUUAUAUUUCUGCUGCUUCUUACUUUAUUUAUUGAGUCUCAGGCAUACUAGAAUAUUAUGUAAAGCAAAAGGAUGAAGACAGUGUAGGUAAAACUGUUUUUCAGAAGCUUUCAUGCAGUUCCAGAAGAGUAAAAUGGCAACUAUGGAAAGAAGAACCACCACAGAUCUCAAGGAAUCAUAGAAAAGACCUUAAAGAUCAUCAAAUCCAACCAUGAUCUAGCCAUACUAGCCUAACUCUAACAACCCUCCGCUAAAUCAUGUCCCUGAGCACCACAUCCAAAUGGUUUUUAAACACAUCCAGGGAUGGUGACACAACCACCUCCCUGCGGAGCCUAUUUUAGUGCUUAACAACCCUUUCUGUAAAGUUGCUUUUCCUGAUACCCAACCUAAACUUAACCUGGUGCAACUUGAGGUCAUUUCCCCUUGUCCUGUCACCAGUGAGAAGAGACCAGCCCUGUUCUCACUGUAGGCACCUUUCAGAUAUUGGAAGAGAGCAAUAAGGUCUCCCCUCAGCCUCCUUUUCCCCAGACUAAACAGCCCCAGUUCCUUCAGUCUCUCUACAUAGGGCAUAUUCUCCAAGCCCUUCACCAGCCUUGCUGCCUUUCUUUGGACCUGCUCCAGCACCUCAGUGUCCUUUCUCUAUUCAGGUGCCCAAAACUGAACACAGUACUUGAGGUGAGGCCUCAUCAAUGCCAAGUACAGGGGCAGGAUGACUUCCCUAGUCCUGCUCACCACACCAUGCCUGAUACAAGCCAGGAUGCCAUUGGCCUUCUUGACAACCUGGGCACACUGCUGGCUCAUAUUCAGCUGACUGUCCAUCAGUACACCAAGGUCCCUUUCCAUCAGGCAGCUUUCCAGCCACUCCUUCCUCAAGCCUGUAGGGUUGCCUGGGGUUGUUGUGACCAAAAUGCAGGACCUGACACUUGGCCCUCUUGAAACACACAGUUUACCUUGUCCAGUCUGUCCAGGUCCCUCUGUAGUGUCCUUCUCCCCUCAGGCAGAUCAACACUCCCUCCCAGCUUGGUGUCAUCUGCAGGCUUACUGAGGGUGCACUCAAUCCCCUCAUUAAGAUCGUUAAUAAAGAUGUUAAAUAGAAGCAGCCCCAGUACUGAGCCCUGGGGGACACUGCUCAUGACCAGCCACCAACUGGAUGUAAAUCCAUUGACCACAACUCUUUGGGCCCGGCCAUCCAGCCAGUGUUUCACCCAGCAGAGCAUACGCCCAUCCAAAUAGUAGGCAGCCAGCUUCUCCACAAGAGUGUUGUGGGGGACAGUGUCAAAGGCUUUACUGAAGUCCAGGUAGACCACAUCAACAGCCUUACCUUCAUCCACUAAGUGGGUCACCUUGUCAUAGAAUGAAAUCAGGUUUAUCAAACAGGACCUACCAUUUGUAAACCCAUGGUGGCUGGACCUGAUCCCCCGGUUGACCUUUAACUGGUCCCUGACAGCUCCUGAGAUUAUCCGUUUCAUAACCUUUCCCGGCACUGAGGUGAGACUGGUAGUCUGUAGCUAGCAGGAUCAUCUUUCCUGCCCCUUUUGAAGAUGGGCAUCUCAUUUGCCAGUCUCCAGUCUGCUGGGAGAUCCCCGGUUAGCCAGGACUGCCGAAGGAUGAUAAGAGAGAGACUUGGCAACCACAUCCGCCAACUCCCUCAGUACUCUAGGGUACAAUCCAACCAGCCCCAUGGACUUAUGAGCAUUCAGCUUUUGGAGCAGGUCCAAAACCAUCUCACCGUGGAUCAUGCAGAGCCUAUUCUGUUCCCCAUCCCUAUCUACCAGCACAGGAGGCUGUGUUCCCAGGGAGUAACAAGUCUUACUAUUAAAGACUGAGGCAAAGAAGGCAUUAAGCACCUCAGCCUUAUCCUGAUCCUUGGUCAUCAAGUUGCUCUCGGCAUCCAACAAGGAUGGAGACUCUCCCUAGCCCUCCUCUUGCUGUUGAUGUAUUCAUAGAACUAUUUAUUGUUGUCUUUUACCUUAGUGGCCAAGUUCAGUUCUAGCUGGGCUUUGGCUUUUCUAAUUUUCUCACUGCACAGCUUCACUACAUACCUGUAAUCAUCCUAAGUAUCUUGCCCACUCUUCCGGAAAACAUGAACUUUCUUUUUGCUCUUGAGAUCCAGCCAAAGGUCUCUGUUCAUCCAGGCUGGCCUCCUUGCCCAUCAGCUCAUCUUCUGAACUUGGCUAUGGUCUGUACCUGCACCUUUAAAAUAACUUCCUUAAAAGUAUUCCCAGCCUUCCUGGGCUCCCAUGCUCUCCAAAACUACCUCCCAAGGGACCCUCUCAACUAUGGUCCUAAAGAGAGGUACUCUCUAAAGAGAGUACCCCCCGUAUUUUGCAAUCAGACACUGCUGUUCCAUCCAGGACAGCUCCAUAGCAGUGAACCUUGGCAAUCAAGGUCAUAUUCUUCAAUUAAAUGUCAGUUUCUCUCCAUCAAGGUACUUGUUCUAACAUGAAAAUAAACUAAUAGACUUAUGAAUAAAUAUACUAC